GUUAAAACACCAGUUCUCAUACAAUCACUGAAGGUAAGCAACGUUGAGCUUGGUCAGUACCAAGAUGAGUGACAGCUUGAAAAUUCCAUGUGUUGUA